UACGUAGGUGGCAAGCGUUGUCCGGAUUUACUGGGCGUGAAGAGCGCGCAGGCGGUCGUUCAAGUCGCGUGUGAAAGCCCCCGGCUCAACUGGGGAGGGUCACGCCGAUACUGAUCGACUCGAAGGCAGGAGAGGGUAGUGGAAUUCCCGGUGUAGUGGUGAAAUGCGUAGAUAUCGGGAGGAACACCGAUGGCGAAGGCAGCCCCCUGGGUCAAGAUUGACGCUCAUGCACGAAAGCGUGGGGAGCAAACAGG
rnacentral:rRNA from 1 species